UUGCGCACAACCACAUUAACGCCUACAACUUCGUACAUGCAAAAGUACAUUUGUUGACUUAAUGUUCCUUUACGGUGCAGCGCGUGGCGGGAGUAACACCUCUUGAUUAAACAACACACUAUUUAAGUACUAAUUGCGCAAUAAUUAUUACAUGUAAAGCUUACGUACGUGCUUCACUUGUUGCAAUCUCUAUGUAUUGUAUUGUUUUACUAGUUAUGUAUUGUAAUUCUUUCAGAUUUUCGCCUACUAUAUGGCUUCUUAAAACAUUGCCUAAAUUCAUUAAUAUUAUUCAUAUUUAUCAUUUUGUUCUAGCCCAAAUUCGAACAAUGGCAAGCAUUGUUGUUGUUCUAAGUCACUUUUUGUAAGUUUGAUCUGAGUCACACCGCCGUAGAUUCUAAAGUUUAGUUGACCCGACUUGCGACUGAUAUCGAUAAAUAUUAUCAUUGUGGAUAAGCGACACAUUCCCGACGAACAUUACAUACGCUACUGCGUACUUAGUAAUUCUGCUUUUUUAUUCGAAAUGCGACACAACUUCGCGCUGCCUGAGCCGAUUUAAAGGCCCUUUUUUGUAACACCAAAGAUUUUUUGUAACUUGCAAGUCGACUUAAAUCUUGGGCAAAGGCUUCGGAAUAACUUUAUCAAAACAAACUUUUCUUGUCUUAAUCUAUAUGUAUUAUAUACUUUUGUUAGUUUUGGUAAUCUUGCAUUCGCUGCAGAUUUUUUCUGAUACAUAGAGGUACCACCACGUAGUUUCCUGAGUGCCACCCUGGUAGGUACUUAUUUUUAUGAGAUAUUGUUUUAUCACUUUAUGUUAUUUCAUCAAAUGUUAUUGAAGAUCAAGCAGGGUAAUCUUCAAAUCUUUACGAAGACACAACAGUAUAUUUAUUAAAUAACAGACGUAAUAAGACGACACAGACGUACAUAAAUUCGCUAGAUAUAUACGUAGUGUUUAUGUUGCGUAAAAACUAAAACAGCAACGCCCUCGUCGCAGCACAAUAAGCCAAGUGAAGUUCAUUGGCACGAAUUCUGAGAUAGGAACGUUUCGUGGAUGGUCGCCAUGGCCGGCCGGUGACGGCCGCCGCCAACCAUGACUUCACUAAUUAUGUACGUCAAUUUUUUGACUCUUAUUUAUAGCCCAGCCGUCACUUAUUUAUUUUAGAACAGAUUGACUUUGUUAAAUAUAAAGUGAUAUCAUAUCGACACAAAACUGUACCUAUAUGAUGUAGGUAUGCCUUUAUUAAAACAAGAGCAGAGGCCAACAUUAUAUCUAGGCGAUACUACAUUUCAACAGCAAAUUAAAAUUUGAAUUUCCAUAUCCAUUUCCUGAGCCAUCUAUGUUAAUUAUACUACAUAUAUAUAGCUUAUAGAAUAUGGUAGACAUUUAAAGCGAUUGCUAGUGAUCUAAAAAACAAUGCGGAAGAGCUCGCGGCUUCACGCUUCUGCGUAGUUAAUUCUUUGCCUCACUCGACACGUGUGUUUGAUGACGUAGUGAAUUAAAAUUAUAGUUAUAUCUGACCCAUUUUCAGUGAUAAAAAGUAUUACAUAUUAUAGCCAUGAUCAUUUAAAGGCAAAAAUACCAUAAAAUAAUUCCGAUUCAGAUUUAUGAAUCAGAAAAUAAAACACAGCGAAUGAAAUUUAAUAAAUAAUAGAUUGAAAAUCAUGCUAAAAUUUUAUUCACCAGAUGGUGAAUGUUGCAGUUUUGGCAAGAGUUCUCUGUAAUGUGUUAUACCUAGAAUCUUUUAGUAUGUGGUAUACGGGAUAGGUGCGAUCUUAUGCAAGAGUUCGCGCGUGUUGCCGAAUGAAAACGUGUGUAGGUGACGAACUCGCCCGAAUGUGCCCGACCAUUCUGAACCUAAACACAAUACAGACAAUGGUAACUUUGCCAGCUAUUUAGAGAAUAAUUUGCAAUCUUAUUACCUAUUAUACCAAUUAAUGCAUCAAUAUCAUAAAUCGUUGAAUGAGUAUCCUCAAAGUAUCGAACUUACCUUGGGGCUAGCUAACUCAUUUGUCGUUAUAAUAUUUAUUUAUUUAGUUUUUCUUCAUUUCUUAAUUAACCAAUAAUUUUUGGAUAUAGAAAUAUCAUAUCUUUUUAUACAUGCAUAGUGUGCCAUUUUAUGAUUACUUAUUAGGUUUUUUUUUCACAUUCGUUCGCUCUUGUUCAAUAUCUCUUCGAUUAAUAUGUUCGUGAGAAACAACGUAUCCUUGCUAAAGUCUAGUACCACAAUCAAAAUAGGUGCACUGCAACUAGGGCGACGAGAUAGUAAGUAUUACAUAUAUUAUAUUGGGCAGCAUUAUUAAUGAACCCGUUUUUAAUGUUGUAUUUUAGAUUCAUAUUACUAAAAUCGUUAUAUUCCAUUAUUUCAUGACUUGUCUAAAUGCUAACGCUAACUACACUAAUGUAAGCUUUACUGUUUUAAAGCCCAAGACUAUUCAUUCAUAUACAGGCCCAUUAUGUAAUUUACAUUUGUGCUUUUCACAUUAUUAUUAUUUUCACUUUUGUGUUCGUUGUAUUAUUAGCUCGUGCCUAAAUUGCGUUAUUAAUUUAAUUCUCAUAUAGUUAAUAGGUAUGUAAUUCUAGUCAAUAGCAAUAGACUAUUGCUAGUAUUUUUCAUAUUUGCUGAUAUCCAAUGCGCGACAUCUUUCUUUUCGUUUGGUAUCGCAAUCAGGUGGUGACCUCGUGGUCGCAUUAGUGUGCGCUCUUGGGGCCCUACAUCUCGCACGUGGCACUCGGUCGAGCCGGUAUCUCGACGCUAUUGGCAGGGCUUCGUUCGCGUACCACUUCAAUAAAUAUCGUUUAAUUGAGUUUAAACGUACAAACGCUACUCUACUAAGUGUCCCUACUCGUAUAAUAAGUGGUUUGAUAUGCAUGAAGUUUUUUUUAAACUUAAGGUUUUUGGUCGGGGCGGAUAAAAACAGGAGCAAUAACUUCCUGCCUCAUUCAUUCACAUGCACCUUAUCUUUCAUGCAUUAUCAGUAUAUUGUUAUAUUUUUAAAUUAUGUAGGUAGCAUGCAGGAUGAUAAAGAUCUAACGUGCGUAUAAAAAAACGGUCCAUAUCGCAAACCGGUAAAGGUUUUUAUGUCAGAAAAUGCAUUCACUACAGAUUAAUGGGAGGUAACGGAACGGAAAAUGUAGUCUACUUCCAUUUUAAGUAAAGGUACAUUGACGGUUCAUCAGUAAACUAAUAGUUCAUGUGAAACCACGUGUGUCAUUUCUCUCCCUGACUUCUCGAUGGCACAAACAAACCGAUCGCCUGUCUAGAGAAAUGAGCGUGAAAGAUUGCGUCAGACACGUCAUUUCGCACUCCAUCUACUCCGCCCAUGCUGGAAAGCGAGCUGGCCUGGCGGAAACCGCAGCUUUCUAACCAUCCGUCUAAUACACUUGUAAUUUCAAAUCACCACCAAGUUCACUCUCAUUUUCGAACGCUACUCAUUUCCAAGUAGCUUUCGAUAUGAUGACUUAGGUAGUUUCUCGAAUCAUUCGUUGCCCAUGAAAAUAAAGCGUUUUACUGCAAGACGCAAGGUAUUAUUGUGGUAUUAUAAGUGUGUGGUUGUCACUUUCUUUUCGUACAUUACUAACGUUGUUAUUCAUGUGAUCCCCAUAUUUUUAUCUUUCAUCUCGUGUAAAUAACAUAGGUACACUUAAUUUUCCUUUGUUGAAUUUUGCAGAAAUAUCUUGUCUAUUUAAUUAGUCAUCACAUCACGUUUCGCGCAUGUUGAGGUCACGCCUAGUCGACGCAGGAACAUACGAAGUGGAAACUUGAUUGAUUUUUCUUUAUAGCAGAUAGAACAUCAUUGAGAACCGGUAUCUAUUUAUACUAGUACGUCGUGUUUUAUCGCGCAUAUAUUAACUUUAAUUGUGUAUUUAUUUAUGUAACAUAUACUAGCAUUAUCGGUAAAGUAUAUUUGCUUCAUAAAUGCAUUAUUUAUGAAUGUAUGAUUCCGCCUAGUUCUCAGCCCGAGGAGAGUCGGUUGUUAACGGUAAUCUCGUACCUGUUACGUGUGUACCAUUUCCUUUGUUUUCAAGCGGAGGAAAAACUCGAUCUAGACUUGUUGUCGCCGCGGUAUCUUCCAUAUGCUUUUAUAUCAACAUUUUAUCAAUUUAAUGCAAAAAUGUUUGCAUAUUUUCAUCACAUAAGGUAAUAACUAAUUAUUUCUAGAUUAUUUUAUUACUGCAACAAUCGAAAUAAUCUUUCGAAAAUUGAUUUUUAUAACUGAUAGGAAAUAAUUUUAUAAUGUUUUUAGGAUAUCACUUGUUAGGGGUGAAAUCAGCUCCGCAUUAAUCGUUAAAUUGCUGUUUGCGCCACAGACAUGCAACUAAAGGGUCUCGAAAUGUUAGUAGGUCAGACACGGACUAGCAUGAAUUCUUGAUAAUGUUUCUCACAUGAUAGCAACAGGUUUUUGUAUCAAUAAUAUAGUCAGGUACAGAGGCAUUGAAGGGUACCUUUUUAUAUUAAUUUAAAUAAAUAAAUGUACAAAGCCUCUCAAACCUCGUAAACGACCGAGAGGCCGACUGUUAUUGAAUUAAAAUUUAAACGGGGUCGCUACACUUGAAUCAUAUCUCACUCACACGUCCCAAAUGGGAAUGCUUAUACCACAGCUCAUACUGAAUUUACUUUUCGUAUUUAGUGUAUGUUUACGUGGAGCAUUGUCCCGUCUUCGCUGCGAUAUAUGUUUGCAACUGCACCGACCGUGGAGUCAACGACCCAGGCCAAUCUGCAGCUCGUAUUAUUUUUGAGAAAAAACACGUGAAAUGUAGAAAUUUAUCAAAUGGCCCGUGUCGAAAAGUAUUAAAAGUAAAGCAUGCAUCACAACAAAAUAAAAUCAUAAGUCAAGCCAUGUAUUUCUAUCGCUUUUUACGAGAUCGUGACCUGAUCAUCUGAGUCAUCAUCCUAAAAAUGUCUUCGGCAGCGGUGUAAGUUUUUUUACUAGUUUUAAAAUAUCUGUCAGUCAUAUUCGUAACAAUGUUACGUUCAGUUUUAUACAUGUCCAUAACGUACUUGUAUUGUAUUAUAUUACUUCUGAAGAUUGGCAGUGGUCUGUCUGUCCUAAUAGUAGCUAGUAAUAACUGCUUUUGAAACUUGUGCAAUUCCAUGAAGUAAUGGUUUCCUUUAUUAUGAUCCUAUAUCAAAGGAACGUGAAAUAUUACACAAUGCAUUAUAUUUAUAUAUUUUUAUUAUGUUAAGUACAAAACAUGUACCUAACAUUGAAUAUUUUCUUAUUAUAUACGUAAAUGGAUUUUCUUAUUUACAUUUUUGUAUCUCUUUCCAUAUUUUACUAUUGAUUGUAGCGACCACCACUUCAAUUUCAGUUCAUAAUCAUAUGCACAUGCUGCGUUGAUAAAGUUGACUGGUGUGAUCGACUACAAUCUUCGUAAAAAAAAUAUAUUUUACGGUUGUUUUUCAAAGUGACUCCAAUUUUCAACUUUAGGUUUUCUCUAUUUAUGUACUAAUUUUCAUUCCAGUAUAAAUAAGUAUUAUUAGACAGGAAAUUAAAAGCCUUAAAUUACGCUUACAUCGAAGUAUCCAUGACACACUUUUUGUAUUAAAAUCACACAGCACAAAUAUCACCUAACGUUUUCAUAGUCUCUACCAACUGCAGUUCUAGAAAUUUAUUUUGACAAUAAAUAAUUUUCUAUGACAUUCAGAUCGAAACCACAAAGAGUCAAUUGUAACACAAAAAUGCACCCAUUAAACGGGAGAUUUAUCUUGCAAAGGUAUUUCUUCUGGAGCAGUUGUUCCAUUUGCAUUACCUGCGGUCUGUUGACGAUCUGGUGUUCUUGAAUUGGAAUUAGAACUGAAUCUCUUUCUAAUUGCUGUCCAAUUCUUUUUAAUUGUAAUUCCAGCUACUACUACCACCAUACCCGCAACUAUUAUUCCAAUAAUACUUUUGUUUACACCCCCGGUUUUUGAAUCGGCUGUAGUUGCACCAACUUUAUAAUUAGAUGAAUCAUUUGUAUCUGGCUUAGCUUCUUUUUGUUUAGAUGCAGGCUCAGCUGGAAUAUUAAGUUUUCCCCUUGGUUCAUCAGAAUUAUCAGCCUCUACUAAAGUACUAAACCUUGAAAUUGCUGUAGCUUCGUCUGUUUUAACUGGACUAUAUGCUGUUUCAGGCAUAAUAUUUGAUGAUCCAGUCUCGGGUU